ensembl:lncRNA
AGGCAGCUGUUGGCCUUUAUUUCACUGGAGCAGCUUAUCUCAGAUCAUCUCCUCAAUCACAGGCCCUUAAACAGCUUCUGACAAUCAAUUCAUAUCCCUGCUGCUGGGAGGUGGAGGAAAAGAAUUACCUUACUUAUCUGUGUAUAAGCUGGAAAAAAAUUACCGUACUUAUCUGUGUAUAACCUGCAGCCGCCCUGUGACUGAGUGAGAUCACGCUGGGAAUGGGGUGAGUACAGGCCAUGCAUGCGCAGAGGAAAGCGCUCGAUAAAUGUGAGGUGUGCUUCCUUGGAGUUCAUCUCCAUGCCCCAGACUUCAAAGCUUCCUACCCACCAUCCAGAAAUCUUCCUCCAGGGAGCUCCUCCAGCUGAGCGGGCAGCAAACAGCCUGUUGCCAGAGCAGAGAUUAAGUAGUCAUCUAGCCCUGGGGCACGACCGACCACGGUGGUCACUGCUGAGCUGCCAAGUCACCAGGGACUUUGGCUUCUCAUGACCAUCAUUUUAUCUGCCCUUGAAGUGGCCAGAAGUGCCCAGAAGUUAAUGCUGCCCUCCCCUCCCCUCCCCCAAUAGAGAUGCAAACAUAGCUCUCAACCCAUGUCUGAUGGAAUUGGUGAAUAAAUACCCCCAACUUCCUCCCCACCGGGUACAGUGACUCUGAGGUGUGAAUGUUCUACAUCAUUUCCCAGAAUUUCCCCAGGGGAUCCAGCUCAAGUUUCCUAUGGGUCUAACUCACUUGGUACUGCUGCUGCUGCUGCUAAAUCGCUUCAGUCAUGUCCGACUCUGUGCGACCCCAUAGAGGGCAGCCCAUCAGGCUCCUCCGUCCAUGGGAUUCUCUGGGCAAAAACACUGGAGUGGGUUGCCAUUUCCUUCUCCAACGCAUAAAAGUGAAAAUUGAAAGUGAAGGCGUUCAGUCGCGUCCGACUCUUGGUGACCCCAUGGACUACAGCCCACCAGGCUCCUCCGUCCAUGGGAUUUUCCAGGCAAGAGCAGUGGAGUGGGGUGCCACUGCCUUCUUUGCACUUGGUACUAGGCCUGCCUUUUAUUGACUACCUUCCUCACCACCCUUCCCCUACUUCAUUCAAUUCCUGGAUGAACUACUUGUACUGGAGUCCUGCUCAAGGUUGACUUCUGGGAGAACUAAGACAAUGGGGGGACGAGAAGAAGCAGGGUUUUCAUGGAGCUAUUGCAUGAUUGAGCAAUGCUAAGCAUAUGGAGAACCUGGCCCAGAAUGAGCACUUGAAUAAGUGAUAAAUAAUAUCAACAAGAUUCUUAAAAUUUAUCUGAGAGAGAGGCACUUUUAAGUAACAGCAAGGUUCUUAUUGGCCAAGUGGUUUAGA